rnacentral:rRNA from 1 species
AGAGUUUGAUUCUGGCUCAGGAUGAACGCUGGCGGCGUGUCUAAUACAUGCAAGUGAAACGGGUAUCUUCGGAUACCAGUCGCGGACGGGUGAGUAAUACAUAGGCAACCUGCCUUUAUGAGGGGGAUAACCGAGGGAAACUUUGGCUAAUACCGCAUGAAGACUCUAAGGCAUCUUAGAGGGAUAAAAGUUGGGAAACAACGCAUGAAGAUGGGCUUAUGGCGCAUUAGCUAGUUGGUGAGAUAGAAGCCCACCAAGGUAAUGAUGCGUAGCCGACCUGAGAGGGUGAACGGCCACAUUGGGACUGAGACACGGCCCAAACUCCUACGGGAGGCAGCAGUAGGGAAUUUUCGGCAAUGGGGGGAACCCUGACCGAGCAACGCCGCGUGAAGGAAGAAGGUUUUCGGAUUGUAAACUUCUGUUAUAAGGGAAGAACGGAUUGGAUAGGGAAUGAUCUGAUAGUGACGGUACCUUAUUAGAAAGCCACGGCUAACUACGUGCCAGCCGCCGC